rnacentral:lncRNA from 1 species
CUUGGAUCUUGUCAGAUGCAUUCUGAGCAACUCUUAUGUCUCACAUCCCAGACACAUCUUCAGCUAAGAUAAAAAUUAUAUGGGGGAGAAUCUGGUACUCUCUAGACCUGAAAUUCUGGGGGCUGUUUUAUUUUUCAUUUCUCUGUGAUUUAUAAAUUUAAAACCUAUACUUUAUUUUUUCUGUGGAACAGUAUAUUGAGCCUUAAAACUAAUAUUAAACUGUCUUAAAAUAAUUUAAAAUAGUAUCUUAUUUGAUCCCACUACAUUCUUGUUGAGAACAUCUUACAAUAUCCAUUUUGUAUAUGAGUAAGCUAAUUCCUUAGAGAUCAAGUAGUCUGUUUAAAGGCUCAUGAAUUUGUUAGUGUCUAAGUCUCCUGACUCUUUGUACAACAUUCUUUGCAUUUUGUGGCACUGCUUUAUUGUUGUUAUUAAAACCCAUCUUUAGGCUUGCAUUCAUCUGCAUUUCUGCACAUCUUCUGAGAUGCUCCAUUUCAAGCCAAUAUUCUGUUUUUAAAAAAUGAUCUUAAGUACAGCUUUAAUCAAACAUUUACAUUGUUAAUACACUUCAAAGUCCAUUUUCUUUCCCUAACUAAAACAUACCCUGAGUGAGUAGAUAUUAGCUAUGCUUCUACUUAGUCAAGGAUACCAAGUGUAAAAGAGCAAUAGAAUUUCAUGUAGCUGGCAGAGGCAAUAGAUUCACGACAUCCUGACAGUCAAAUCUAAGCUCCUAGGUCAACUCUUACAGCUUAAAUGACUUCAGGGGUCAGACAAAAAUAUUAACAAGUGAAGUAUACAAGGGUUGCUGCAAAAUAGGAUCUUAAUAGUAUUCUUUGGACAGAGACACACCUUGAAUAUUAGACACAUAGGAAUAGAUUUCACGAGAUGUGCUGUCACUUUAUUUUCCCUUUUAGGAGGAAGAGAAUAACAAUCAAGCAUGGUAAUGGAUGAAUAUCUUCACCAUAAAACUGCUGAACUUGUAGGAGUCAAGAUGAAGCACCUCUGUAUGCAGCGACAGAGCCUUCAGGAAUCAAUCCGUGUAAUUUGUUUCCUCUUCUAUCACCUUUGUACACAAAAAGCAGUGUUGUGCUUACCUUUUAGUUACGUCAAAAGAAAAGAAGGACAUAAAGCAUGGGGUAUUUCCAUUCCGUGCACAUAAAGGAUCCUAGGCAAGUCAAGCAGUGUGUGGCAUGAGUUUUGAAAAAAAGCUUUACUCAAAAAGUACUUGUGGUACAACAACCUGGAUAGCUGGAAGAUUCAAGAUCAAUGCUAAGCCCAACAUAAAGCCAGAGGAUAAUGAAAAUAAACAAAGAAGAAUAAUGGUUUAAUAUUUCUUC